UACGUAGGGUGCGAGCGUUAAUCGGAAUUACUGGGCGUAAAGUGUGCGCAGGCGGCAAAGCAAGUCGAGUGUGAAAGCCCCGGGCUUAACUUGGGAAUUGCGCUCGAAACUACUUUGCUGGAGUGUGGCAGAGGAAGGUGGAAUUCCACGUGUAGCGGUGAAAUGCGUAGAGAUGUGGAGGAACACCAAUGGCGAAGGCAGCCUUCUGGGCCAACACUGACACUGAGGAGCGAAAGCCAGGGGAGCAAACGGG
rnacentral:rRNA from 1 species